rnacentral:rRNA from 1 species
GGCCUACGGGACGCAGCAGUGGGGAAUAUUGCACAAUGGGGGAAACCCUGAUGCGGCGACGCCGCGUGAGUGAAGAAGUAUUUCGGUAUGUAAAGCUCUAUCAGCAGGGAAGAAAAUGACGGUACCUGACUAAGAAGCCCCGGCUAACUACGUGCCAGCAGCCGCGGUAAUACGUAGGGGGCAAGCGUUAUCCGGAUUUACUGGGUGUAAAGGGAGCGUAGACGGGGAUGCAAGUCAGAAGUGAAAGCCCGCGGCUCAACUGCGGGACUGCUUUUGAAACUGUGCAGCUAGAGAGCGGGAGAGGG